rnacentral:rRNA from 1 species
UACAGAGGUCUCAAGCGUUGUUCGGAUUCAUUGGGCGUAAAGGGUGCGUAGGCGGUGUGUCACGUCGGCCGUGAAAACCUGCAGCUUAACUGUGGGCGUGCGGUCGAUACGGGCAUCACUGGAGUUCGGCAGGGGAGACUGGAAUUCCUGGUGUAGCGGUGAAAUGCGCAGAUAUCAGGAGGAACACCGGUGGCGAAGGCGGGUCUCUGGGCCGAUACUGACGCUGGAGGAGCGAAAAGCGUGGGGAGCAAACAGG